rnacentral:rRNA from 1 species
ACUGGGAGUAACAAGAGGGAAACGUUCUGAUAAUACUGGAUAAGUUAGUAUAUCGCAUGAUAUGCAAAUGAAAGCUACGGCACUAAAGGAGAGCUUUGCGUCCUAUUAGCUAGUUGGUAAGGUAAGAGCUUACCAAGGCGAUGAUAGGUAGCCGGCCUGAGAGGGUGGACGGCCACAAGGGGACUGAGAUACGGCCCUUACUCCUACGGGAGGCAGCAGCC